rnacentral:misc_RNA from 1 species
UACGGAAGGUGCAAGCGUUGUCCGGAUUUAUUGGGUUUAAAGGGUGCGUAGGCGGCCCGUUAAGUCAGUGGUGAAGUCCCGGGGCUCAACCCCGGAACUGCCAUUGAUACUGGCGGGCUUGAGUUCGGUCGAGGCGGGCGGAACUGGUGGUGUAGCGGUGAAAUGCAUAGAUACCAACAAGCACCCCGAUUGCGAAGGCAGCGCGCUGGGCCGAAACUGACGCUGAGGCACGAAAGCGUGGGGAGCGAACAGG